rnacentral:lncRNA from 1 species
CUAGAAGGUCUCCAAGACAAUAAUUACAUUGGCACAAUGUAUACUUCAGUGCUCACCCGUAGGCAAAUCUCUUUUUAAAAAACUCUUUGGUGCACAAGUAACACAUUUGGCCACAAAACACCAAAGAAUUGUAGGCAGUGGCCCCUAUUGAGAAGUUUUCCGGUAGAGUUGGAAAUCAGUUGUGAAUACAUUCUUUGCUAGUUGGAGUGCUUGUUUACUAAGCAUGUGCCGUCGUAGGUAUUAGUGCUAGUCUCAGAUAGGUGCUUCCCCUGAGGUGCAGGGGAAGACCAAAGUUUGCAACUCGAACUGCUUUCGUC